rnacentral:rRNA from 1 species
CAGCAGCCGCGGGAAUACGUAGGUCCCGAGCGUUGUCCGGAUUUAUUGGGCGUAAAGGGAGCGCAGGCGGUCAGGAAAGUCUGGGGUAAAAGGCUAUGGCUCAACCAUAGUGUGCUCUGGAAACUGUCUGACUUGAGUGCAGAAGGGGAGAGUGGAAUUCCAUGUGUAGCGGUGAAAUGCGUAGAUAUAUGGAGGAACACCAGUGGCGAAGGCGACUCUCUGGUCUGUAACUGACGCUGAGGAGCGAAAGCGUGGGGAGCGAACAGGAUUAGAUACCCGCGUAGUCCCUGCCUCUUAUACC